ensembl:lncRNA
CCUCAGGCUGAUUGUGAGACAAAGUCAGCAAAUUCUAAUUGAGGUGCAUUCUACAAAACACCUGACUACUACUCCUCAAACCGUCAAGUUCUUCAGAAAUAAAGAAGGUUUAAGAAAUUAUUACAGUCAAGAUACAUGGCAACUAAACGUGAUGUGGUAUCCUGUAUGGGAUACAGAAACUGAAAAAGUACAUUAUGUAAAAUCCAAGGAAACCUGAAUCAAGUAUGGAUGUUAAUUAAUAAUAAUAUUCAAUUUUGGUUCAUUAGGUAUGAUAAAUGUAUUACAACAGGGGUCCAAAGUGGCUCCCGCCGGAGGUCGUGGCGCUUGCGAAGGCGAGGUCAUGAGUUCAAGGCUAACCUGAGCAACCUUAUAAGCUCAAACUGAUUGUCAAAAAAAAAAAUGUAUUACAACAAUGAAACAUACUAACCACAGGAUAACUUCCCAAUCCAUACUAAAUGCCCAAUAAUUAUUGUAUAUGAAAACUAUUAUGUUCAUAACUUUACUUUAAAUCUCUAUGUGGUGAUAUUUUCUGGAAAGCAUUUCUUGUCUAUUCAUUUACUCCUCACAAGAAUUCUAUAGUGUAGAUAUUUUUCAUUUACCUUUGGGUAAAAAAGUAAAACAUGAUUUUUUUGCAUCUUGCUUAACAUCACUCAAGUCUUAGGUGGUAGAAAUAGGACUUGAAUUAUAUGAUUACAAAUUCUUUUCUGCAGCAACACAAACCAUGAAAUAUCAACAGCACUGAGAACCUUGAUAGCAGGCAAUAUCUUUGAAUAAUUAAUUCACAUUUCUAAGUGAUAUGUAUAGCAUUAUAUAUUGUAAUGAGUUUUAAAUUAUGUGUUGACAGGUAUCUAAAGAUGAAAAUAGAGGUCAAGUAUUUGGGUUCUGGGAGCAAAUUGCCUAGACUCAAAUCCCACUGUAACACUUUGCAGCUGAAUGACCUGGCCGAAGUUGUCUGUGGUGUGUUUAUUCUGUUCCUUAAAACAUGAUGCUAUGGCAAUAUUUAAAAGGAGCCAAGCCUGCUAACUCAGACAGCAUUUCCAGACCUCCCAUGGAGUGCAUAUUCAUGUACUGGUGCUUUCGUUUCUUUGAAAUAGACUCCCAAAGUGGAAUUUAUGAAACAAAGGGUACAGUCGUUUUUACUGUCAAUGCAAAACACUACAUGCCUCUCUUCCAAUAAUGGUUAGCAGAGGAAACGUACACAUGCAUGGGAUAUAAAAAGGUGACAGUGUUAAAAGUCUGCAACAAUUAAGUUGACUGGAUAAGCUCCAAGGGAAGAGGAAUAAGAACAAAAAAGCAAUUUUAAACAAUUUAAAAAGUCACAGUAAUUGUGAAUUUGCCAAUGAAAAGAAACACAUGUCUCUGUGAAAGUAUUUAAAGAGCAUGUUUUGUCCUCAUUGUAACUAAAGUAUAAUAGUUAUAUGUAGCAAAUGUCUGUGGACUAAGGGAUUUCUCAGAAAUGUUGCUCUAAAAUGUCAGGUUAUGGACAGAGCAAGCUGUGGAACACUCGUUUGUGUCAUUCUCGUUUUUAAAAAACUGUAUAUCAAAUAAUCAAAGAAUUUCAUAAGCCAAAACCAAAAAUAUCCUGGAAAAAGUUUACUAAAAAAUACUCCCCUAAUUAUAAAUAUUUGGGAGACACAACGGAGAGACUUGGAGAAAAGUCUCAUUCUAGAUUUUUGCCCGGCAAGUCUCCUAUUCUUUGUGCAAAGAAGAGUGUGAAGGAGCGUCUAUCAAGCAUGGAAUCUGACAGGGCAACUCUAUUACUCUGGCCUAGAUUUUUAUUAUCUUCUUUCCUUGGUGGGCUCCAGAGUGAACAUAAAUCAUGAAAGGGGCUCAACGAGUUGGUGAGAAAUCAGAUUUUUUCAGCAGUAUUUAUUGCCAUUCCAGUACUAUGGAAAUUGUAUGUGUGUAACAGCAGAUUGAAUAGUUCUGCAGGGGUUAGAAGACAUUGGUAAGUGACAUAUAAUAAAUUUUAUAGGCACUUCCUUCUAUAGAUUUGAGAUUCUCCUUUGAGACUCAUUUAAUUUCUUUCAUAACAUUUUUGCCUUAGUGAACUUGAUAAUUC